rnacentral:rRNA from 1 species
UACGUAGGGGGCAAGCGUUGUCCGGAAUUACUGGGCGUAAAGGGCGCGUAGGCGGUCAGCACAAGUCAGUUGUGAAAUCUCCGGGCUUAACUCGGAAAGGUCAACUGAUACUGUGCGACUAGAGUGCAGAAGGGGCAACUGGAAUUCUCGGUGUAGCGGUGAAAUGCGUAGAUAUCGAGAGGAACACCUGCGGCGAAGGCGGGUUGCUGGGCUGACACUGACGCUGAUGCGCGAAAGCCAGGGGAGCGAACGGG